rnacentral:rRNA from 1 species
GCCUUCGCCACGCCCGCUACAGUAAACUUAAAGUAGUAAGUUCGGACGGGGGCCCGCACAAGGCGGUGGAGUAUGUGGUUUAAUUCGAUGCAACGCGAAGAACCUUACCUGGUCUUGACAUCCCGGAGACCCUUAGGAAACUAGGGGGUGCUUCCAUCUGGAAGAAUCUGGAGACAGGUGCUGCAUGGCUGUCGUCAGCUCGUGUCGUGAGAUGUUGGGUUAAGUCCCGCAACGAGCGCAACCCUUGCCUUUAGUUGCCAGCAGUUCGGCUGGGCACUCUAAAGGGACUGCCGGUGUUAAACCGGAGGAAGGUGGGGAUGACGUCAAGUCCUCAUGGCCUUUAUGACCAGGGCUACACACGUACUACAAUGGCCGAUACAAAGGGCAGCGGCACUGCGAGGUGAAGCCAAUCCCGUAAAAUCGGUCUCAGUCCGGAUUGGAGUCUGCAACUCGACUCCAUGAAGUUGGAAUCGCUAGUAAUCGUGGAUCAGCAUGCCACGGUGAAUACGUUCCCGGGCCUU